CCUUCCAAGCCACUGGCAGCUGUCUCACCUUAGUCUCUCCCCACUCCUUGGAUCUCUGAGAACUCUGGCACUGGGGAAAGGACGUCGCUCAGUGGCAAAGCAUCUACUCUGCGUGCAAAAGGUCCCAGGCUCAAUCCCCAGCAUCUACAGAAUUCCUUCCAGUCUGCUGAUAUCUACUCCUUGUGCCUGGAUGGUGCCAUUUGGGCAACGUAAAGACUGGUACCCAGAGAACAUCCCCAGGAACACCAGACUCAAAUCUUGAUUUUACCUAUAGCUGCAGUCCCCUUUCACUUGUGGUCUAUCCCUGUGUUCUGAUUCUUCAUAAA